rnacentral:rRNA from 1 species
AUUGAACGCUGGCGGCAGGCUUAACACAUGCAAGUCGAACGAGUGGCGGACGGGUGAGUAAUGUCUGGGAAUCUGCCCGAUGGAGGGGGAUAACUACUGGAAACUGUAGCUAAUACCGCAUACCAUCGGAUGUGCCCAGAUGGGAUUAGGUAGUAGGUGGGGUAACGGCUCACCAAGCCGACGAUCCCUAGCUGGUCUGAGAGGAUGACCAGCCACACUGGAACUGAGACACGGCCCAGACUCCUACGGGAGGCAGCAGUGGGGAAUAUUGCACAAUGGGAGCAAGCCUGAUGCAGCCAUGCCGCGUGAAUGAAGAAGGCCUUCGGGUUGUAAAGUACUUUCAGUGGGGAGGCGUUAAUCGCAGAAGAAGCACCGGCUAACUCCGUGCCAGCAGCCGCGGUAAUAC